UUGUUGGUAAGGUAAAGGCUUACCAAGGCUUCGAUCAGUAGCUGGUCUGAGAGGACGGCCAGCCACACUGGGACUGAGACACGGCCCAGACUCCUACGGGAGGCAGCAGUGGGGAAUUUUGGACAAUGGGGGAAACCCUGAUCCAGCCAUGCCGCGCGAGUGAAGAAGGCCUUCGGGUUGUAAAGCUCUUUCAGCCGGAACGAAACGGUUACGGAUAAUACCCGUGACUACUGACGGUACCGGAAGAAGAAGCACCGGCUAACUACGUGCCAGCAGCCGCGGUAAUACGUAGGGUGCGAGCGUUAAUCGGAAUUACUGGGCGUAAAGCGUGCGCAGGUGGUUUUGUAAGUCAGAUGUGAAAGCCCCGGGCUCAACCUGGGAACUGCGUUUGAAACUACAAGACUAGAGUGUGGCAGAGGGGGGUGGAAUUCCGCGUGUAGCAGUGAAAUGCGUAGAGAUGUGGAGGAACACCGAUGGCGAAGGCAGCCCCCUGGGUUAACACUGACACUCAGGCACGAAAGCAUGGGGAGCAAACAGGAUUAGAUACCCUGGUAGUCCAUGCCCUAAACGAUGUCAACUAGUUGUCGGGCCUUUACGGGCUUGGUAACGUAGCUAACGCGUGAAGUUGACCGCCUGGGGAGUACGAUCGCAAGAUUAAAACUCAAAUGAAUUGACGGGGACCCGCACAAGCGGUGGAUUAUGUGGAUUAAUUCGAUGCAACGCGAAAAACCUUACCUACCCUUGACAUGUAUCGAAGCCCGCAGAAAAGCGGGGGUGCCCGAAAGGGAACGAUAACACAGGUGCUGCAUGGCUGUCGUCAGCUCGUGUCGUGAGAUGUUGGGUUAAGUCCCGCAGCGAGCGCAACCCUUGUCAUUAAUUGCCAUCAUUUAGUUGGGCACUUUAAUGAGACUGCCGG
rnacentral:rRNA from 1 species